CCUGAAUUGGUCAAAGGGCCAUGGUCCAAAGAAGAAGAUGAGAUCAUUGUUCAGAUGGUAAACAAACUUGGACCGAAGAAAUGGUUAACCAUUGCUCAAGCUUUGCCUGGACGUAUAGGAAAGCAAUGUCGGGAA
rnacentral:sRNA from 1 species